AGUCGUGAGGAAGGUAGUGUAGUUAAUAGCUGCAUUAUUUGUACGUUAGCGACAGAAGAAGCACCGGCUAACUCCGUGCCAGCAGCCGCGGUAAUACGGAGGGUGCGAGCGUUAAUCGGAAUUACUGGGCGUAAAGCGCAUGCAGGUGGUUUGUUAAGUCAGAUGUGAAAGCCCGGGGCUCAACCUCGGAAUUGCAUUUGAAACUGGCAGACUAGAGUACUGUAGAGGGGGUAGAAUUUCAGGUGUAGCGGUGAAAUGCGUAGAGAUCUGAAGGAAUACCGGUGGCGAAGGCGGCCCCCUGGACAGAUACUGACACUCAGAUGCGAAAGCGUGGGGACGCAAACAGGAUUAGAUACCCUGGUAG
rnacentral:rRNA from 1 species